GAUGAACGCUGGCGGCGUGCCUAAUACAUGCAAGUCGAGCGAACCACUUCGGUGGUGAGCGGCGAACGGGUGAGUAACACGUAGGUGAUCUGCCCAUCAGACGGGGACAACGAUUGGAAACGAUCGCUAAUACCGGAUAGGACGAAAGUUUAAAGGUGCUUCUGGCACCGCUGAUGGAUGAGCCUGCGGCGCAUUAGCUAGUUGGUAGGGUAAAGGCCUACCAAGGCGACGAUGCGUAGCCGACCUGAGAGGGUGAACGGCCACACUGGGACUGAGACACGGCCCAGACUCCUACGGGAGGCAGCAGUAGGGAAUGUUCGGCAAUGGGAGAAAGCCUGUCCGAGCAACGCCGCGUGAAUGAUGAAGGCCUUCGGGUUGUAAAAUUCUGUUAUAAGGGAAGAACGACUUUAGUAGGAAAUGGCUAGAGUGUGACGGUACCUUAUGAGAAAGCCACGGCUAACUACGUGCCAGCAGCCGCGGUAA
rnacentral:rRNA from 1 species